GACGAACGCUGGCGGCGUGCCUAACACAUGCAAGUAGAACGCUGAAGGAGGAGCUUGCUUCUCUGGAUGAGUUGCGAACGGGUGAGUAACGCGUAGGUAACCUGCCUGGUAGCGGGGGAUAACUAUUGGAAACGAUAGCUAAUACCGCAUAAGAGUAGAUGUUGCAUGACAUUUGCUUAAAAGGUGCAAUUGCAUCACUACCAGAUGGACCUGCGUUGUAUUAGCUAGUUGGUGAGGUAACGGCUCACCAAGGCGACGAUACAUAGCCGACCUGAGAGGGUGAUCGGCCACACUGGGACUGAGACACGGCCCAGACUCCUACGGGAGGCAGCAGUAGGGAAUCUUCGGCAAUGGACGGAAGUCUGACCGAGCAACGCCGCGUGAGUGAAGAAGGUUUUCGGAUCGUAAAGCUCUGUUGUAAGAGAAGAACGAGUGUGAGAGUGGAAAGUUCACACUGGACGUAUCUACCAGAAAGGC
rnacentral:rRNA from 1 species